AGUGAACGCUGGCGGCAGGCCUAACACAUGCAAGUCGAACGAGUGGCGGACGGGUGAGGAAUACAUGGGAAUCUGGCUUGUGGAGGGGGAUAACGGCGGGAAACUGUCGCUAAUACCGCAUACCAUAGAAUGAGCCGAUGUGGGAUUAGGGAGUUGGUGGGGUAAUGGCCUACCAAGGCGACGAUCCGUAGCUGGUCUGAGAGGAUGACCAGCCACACUGGAACUGAGACACGGUCCAGACUCCUACGGGAGGCAGCAGUGGGGAAUAUUGGGCAAUGGGCGCAAGCCUGAUCCAGCCAUGCCGCGUGGGUGAAGAAGGCCUUCGGGUUGUAAAGUCCUUUUGUUGGGAAGGCGUUACUCACAGAAGAAGCACCGGCUAACUUCGUGCCAGCAGCCGCGGUAAUUC
rnacentral:rRNA from 1 species